CUUUCAUCUGUAUACCUUCAAACAACUAAGGCAUCUUGCAUCCUAGACGAGUUGUUUCGAAUUAUUAUGCAAAUAACAGUUGAGCUUCGAUAAAACCAAAAUUAUAUUAUGGCUACAGAAGAGGUGCAGUUUAAGAGAACCAUAAAAACGGAUCUCUGGGACACAUCAUAAAAUAAAGAGUCCUUGCCAUAAUGGCUGUUAUUCUGUCCAGGGAGGAAGAACAGACAGUGAUGUUUGCACUCACUUGCAAGAAGAGAAAUGUAUUUCAACAUAAUAAAUUUUGUUCAGCACUACUACCCUACUAUUUACAAAAUGACAUAUUGUUUUUGGUUACAAACAACCCUUAUGUGUGGUGAUGAAAGUAUGAUGAAGUCCUGUGGCUUGAUGAAA